UGAUCGUCGGAGGAGGAUGCGGCUCUCCCGCCCGGUGGAUGGUAAACAACGGCGUCUCGUUCCAACCUUGAAAAGCGCGGAAGGUUUCUAAUUUUAGAACCUCUUUCGUCCCAUGCCUGUGCUGGGAGCCGGAGAUCACUGGGCUAUGUCGUGCAGUUUGAAUCUGGCAAGUUGCCGCUUGAGAGCGGAGGCCCUAGCUCGCCAACUCCACUCGAACCUGUGGAGCGGUCCCAGGUCGGCCCAGGGGUCCCCGGGAGACAGCGGCUGUGUGUCCCCCUGCUUCGGACUGCCCCCCACGAGUGUGCUCGGAAUCGUAGACCGUCCCCCCCUCAAGCUCGAGCACCACCUGAGGAUGUCGAGCCUCGACGAUGAGGAAGAGCAAGAGCAACUGGUGUCCGACAAGGGGGGUCGUCGCAGGGAGAACGGGGAUCUGGAGAUAUGCUCCUCCCCCACUGCGAUCUCCCCCCCUUACAGCCCCUUCGAGAGGAUAGGAUUAUUGCCAAAGGAUAGUGCCACUGUUUACGGCAACUGUAAAGAAGAAACCCACGUCUGGAGACCAGAUUCACCUCCAGAGUCCUUCGCCUCUGAAUCUGAAAUCCUGUCCGAUUCUCCCGCCUUAACCAUCGAAACCGAGGAACCCAGUAGUACGACAUCGAACAGCACAGAAACUGUUUCCGAGUUGGCGAGUCCGACGUACGAUUAUCAAGAUGAGGGCAGCCCCCUCGCAGACGAGCUUCGGAGUCGCUUGAAACUGAUCCAGUCCUCUCAAACGAGUGGCAUCUAUGUGCCUAGUACAAAAAACGGCAUCUGCGAAGAGAAGGAAGAGUCCAGUCAGUCCUCCACUUUGUCUUCCGAGACCACAACCUCCGGUAGAGGAUUCCUUUCACCGCCAAGUCCUUGUCCCAGGUUGGUUCGUAGUACGUCCUUGAAAACUGGUAAAACUCCACCUGGUACACCAAGCAGGAAGAAGAUAGUGCGCUUUGCAGAUGUCUUAGGUUUAGAUCUAGAAGCAAUACGCCAUUUCGUCAAAGACGACGACGCGCCCAUAGUUCCUCAGUCUGCUUUUGCUGAUCUUCGAAUCAGUGCUUCUUCGUCUGCAUCGACCCUGUUGCCGUGGAACGUUAGCUCUCCUAGUGUUACACCGACCGGGUGUCUGUUUGUUCCUCAGUUCGAACAGCCUGGUUCGGACCCUCAUUUCUUGGAUAUAGUGCGCCAGAAGAAAGUAUGCCUCGAAAAUGCUGUUAUAAGUGAUCUUAAAGUAACUGGUGUUAUCAGGGUUUUGAACUUGGGCUACGAAAAGCGCGUGCAAGUUCGGUACACGACAACAGAGUGGGCAGCGCACACAGACUUAACAGCAGACUAUAUUCCGUCCUCUUGUGACGGUUUCUCUGACAAAUUCAGCUUCAACCUCAAUUUGCCUCACUUGUCCCCUGGUCAAAGACUUGUUUUUGCCUUGAGAUAUAUUGCAAAUGGCCAAGAGUUCUGGGACAAUAACAACAGCGAGAACUAUGUGCUAAAAGUUCAAGCUAAAAGUCUUGGCACGAGUACAACGACAGUCGUCAAUGGGCCAAGAUGGUUGCACCAUUUCAUGUGAUUUCGUACUCUUUUGUGUUAGGAAAUAGAUGGGAAAUUUAAUGGUGUUCUCUCCAGAAUUGUGCUACCAAUAGAAGUAAACAUUAGCUGGUCCUUUUUUUUUUUACUGCAACGUCUGCGUUUCGUUAAGAAUUUAAUCAAAAAGUUUUCCUGGAAGUGAAAACUCUCCCGGGCCGGAUUCUUCACGCUGUCGCUUGAAAUAAAAGUUCCUUCAAGCAAAUACGUUGAAGCAGUGAAGCAAGUUCAUAGUACUUUUUUGGGUGUGUACUUGGAUGUAUACACCAAUUCAAAAGUGAAGCUUUGAAAAACUUUGCUAUUUUUAUUUGUGUUGUGUCCUUUAUAGAAAAUAUGUGAGAAAGAGCUUAAUGCCUAUGAAAACAAUAUUUGCAGUUAAGACAAUGAAAAAAAACGAAAAGAGUUGUUUGCGUUUAUGUCGAAUUCUGUGGAAAAUGUAAAGGUUUUAAUUCAUUGAAGCAAUGAGUAAGAUACAAACUGCGCUUUUCGCAAAAUGCAGUUGACAUUUAAAAAAAUGACAAUCAGUGUGAAAACUCAAGCAAGCAAUAUGUUGAAGGUGUUAUAUUCAAAUACAUUUUUAAAACACUUGGAAGUAUUUAAAUACAUUUAUGGUUUAAAUAAAAGAAAAAGAAAAUUUUUAGGUAUGAUAUGCACCAAAUAUUUCAAAGUGUUUGAUACUUAAAUCGUUGAAAUUUUAUAGAAGUUUCAAAUUAAUCAGUUACCAAUAAUUUUAUUCAUGACUGAAAAUAAUCUACUUUAGAAGAAACUUCGUGGGUGCUUAAAGGUUAUAUUGAAAUAUAAUUUUAAAAUAUUUGAAGCAUUUAAAAGGUUUAAAUAAUAAUAGUCAGAGAAAAUAUAAUUCUUUUCUCUGAGAAGUUGCACCUAUUUCAAAAUGUUUGAUACUACUUAAAUAGUUGUUAAUUUAUAUUACUUAGUUUGUCAGUUACCGAUAAUUUAUUCGUGGCUGAAAAUCUUUUUUCUAGAAACUUCAUGGUUUUCUAAAGGUUUAAAUGUGGAAGGGAGGGAGGGGACGUUUUUGUAACAGGUAUGGAUUACUGUUUUCUUACCAUACAAAUCUGUAGUUAAUGUAAAAUUCAGUUAAGUUGUUUCCAACCAAAGUAUAUAGUGAGCAUUUUAUAUUUUAUUUCGCUUUUAAGUGAAGGUAAUUUACACUUUACCAUUAAACGAGAGAUUGGUCGGGUGGGCAUUGUAGUUCGUUUAGACGAAGAAAAAUGGUGUUACUGCUGUGUAUAGUUGAAAAAUAAUUCGACCAACAUUUGUCUCGAAAAGUUAACUGAUAUUAUUAUGAGAUGUUCACAAAACACUUCUGAAAGCUUUAAAAAAAAAAAAAAAAUUAUUAAUAAAUUUUUUAAAAAUCAUUUUCCCCAAAUGUUACAAAAUGAUAAUAAUAGUUUGUUAUACAUUUAUUUAUUAAUUUAAGAUGUUUUCAAAAUGAGUUUAAGGUACUCAAAAGAUACCACAAUAAUAGUUUGUUUAUUUAUUGCGUAGUAUGUUCCUAAAAGAUGUUCCUUAAGUUAAAAUGGUUUUAUUUUUGGAAAAUCAUUUUUACUUGAAUGUUCCAAACGUGUUUUCUUCCUCUGCCUUUUCUUUCUCUCUUUUCCCUUGCUAAAUCACUGUUUAAUAAUUCAGAGUAGACUUGACUUCAUAAAAAAAAGAAAAGUUGCUUGCUUUUCUGAUCUGCUUUGCUUAAUGUAUUUUUGAUGCACUUAAGUUUCCGUUAUAUCUUAUAAAAAAAAAAGCUUUAAAAGUUCGCACUAUGUUACAUAAAGUUGUUUUGGGGGGUCGAAAAAUGUCUAAACUUAGAAAAUCCGGUGUAAAUAUGUUUUAAGAUACUAUUUUAUCGUUAAUAUAUAUUUUUAAUUUAAUCAAAAUAAAUCUUGCAUGUUAUUUAUAUUUCCUAACUAAAUUUAAAGGAGUAGUGUGUUGUGUGUAUAAAAAAUGCAAUAUUUGUACAUUGAUGUUAUAACUUAAAAGAGCUAAUGUUCUAAUGUGUGUUAAAAAUUUAAAAAUCUGUAAUGCACAAAUUGCUCUAUUUUUUCCCCUGACGCGUUUUUAUGAACUUUUCCAAAACAAAACAUGAUGUUCGGAAUUUUAGUCGUUUCAUUUUCAAGUGUGUGAGGGAAAAAUAUGAAAGAGAAGACAUCCAAUAUGUACAGGUUUCCAUCAAGAGAAAUCAUGUCCAAGAAUUUUCAAUGUUGGCUUUGCGUUGUUGAACCUGCCGCAAUAGCUGUAUAAACGUUAUCGAUCACUAGAAAUGUUGAUUAUUCUAGCGUAUGACACGUGAGCAUAGCAGAAAUAUAAGCAGACUUCUACGCUUCAUUCACAGAACAUGCAUAAUUAAGCAGAGUUACGCUUACGCAUUCCACAUCCCACAAUGCUGCGUGACUGUUAUGCGCACAGCAAUUAGAGCUAGUUUCAAAAUCCACCAUUAAGGACCCCUCAUUUUUACUUGCUGAUGAAACGUAAACCGUUCUGUGCUUGUAAUUUUAACUUGUUAAUUCCUUAAAUUUAUGUUUAGAACGUCCAGAUGAAUGCUUUGUCAGGUGUCUACCCGAUCCUUUCCAUUUCUGCAUUCGAAAUAGGAUAAGAUGGAAAGGUAUAGCUCAAUGUGAAACUAUAAUGUUAACGAAGAGAGAAUGUAAGAUGAACUUUGCAAAGUAUAGAAUUGUCUUUUCAAUAAGACAACGAAUUUUCAUUGAGGGUGCUAUUUUUAUGGUGAGAACUCGUUGUUAAAUAACAUACUACUUUUUUUUCAACGUUUUCUACAUUUUGAUUUUAUUUCUCCCCCCCCCCCCCUUUUUUUUUUUUUGAAAGAGAUGAUUACUUGGUUAAUUUUUUUUUUCUGGCUGAGCGGUUUUCAAUUCUACGGAACUUGUUUUUGCUCUAGAUGUUAUUCCCAGAUACAAAUUACGUCAUUUGAAAAAUUGAUUUUUUAAAAAUUUCAAAAUUGUAAACAAUGGUUUUUGUGAAAUAUAAUUGACAUUUGUAGUUAUCAUAUCUUGUUGAUUUUAUUUAUUUAUUUAUUUUUUGAGCACUGCUUACGUGUUAUUUUCCUGCUUAUUUCCCAAAAAAGCAUUACAAAUGUUGUUAUUUCAAGUUUUUGUAAGAUUUUACUUACAGAAAUAGUUAAAUGCAGUACAAAUCGUUUUCCAGUAGACAUUUGACAUGAAUCUUACUCAGUAGUGCUUAAAGAUAUAAAUAUUUAGUGAAAAAUAUUCUGAAAAACUAUUACUAAUGCAUCAACUGAAAACUGAUCGCACGUGAUAAGGCAGAAUUUACACUUAAAAAUUGGGUACUUUUUUUCGAAGUUGCAAAAGGUAGAAGCUUCUUCAGUCCAAACAAAUUGCAAGAUAUAAGUAAUUUUUUCUAUUUUAACUAUUUUCUCUAACUGUAGAAAGGGCUUCAUUGUAACUUCGAAACAUUAUGCCCAUAGGUCUCAUGGCCGGUUUGUGCCGUUUCAUUGGUUUCCAAUGAAUAUUUGAGCAAAAUAUUGCAAAGCAUUGCCUUCAAGUAAAAAUAUAUUUCUGAUCAGAUAACUAAAUCGGUCGUUUAUGCAGCCAGUAAGUGUUUAGGGAAAAAAAGUGACUUAUAUUUAUCGUAAGUAGCUGAACAUUUAAAAGCAUUCAUUUUGAAAGGAACGUAUUUGAUUGGUGUUCACUGUACAGUUUCACUGCUGCGUGGGAAACAAAAUAUGAAUCACAUAGUUGAAAUUAUAAAAUAUAUUUAUAAAUUGGCAAUGUCAAGUGUUUCGGUUUGUCAGUUACGAAGGUUUUUGGCAAGGUCACUAAAUUUUGGUGAUAGCAUUUAAUAUUAUAACUAAAGUUAUGAUUAUAUGUACGACAAGCCUAUUAUUCAUGCAAUGUUAGUCAGCACUUAAUAAUUUUGUGUAGGAAAGUCUGGUUCGGCUGAUCAAAGAUGGCAGACGCGUGGAGUGGUGUUUCUUGGUGCUGUUCAAGUACAACAAAACAACUCGUCAGUAUUUUGGUUAUGAACUUUAAAUGAGUAACAAAACUUUAAAUGUAUAGAUGACAGUAAAGAAAGAAAAAAGUAUCUUUUUGCAGCAAUCAGUAUGGACUAAUUGUCUAGUGAUAUGUUGUAUAAUGAAAAUGUGGAGUUUUACACUAGUAUUAAAAAACAUGUAUUUUUCACAAAGUUCUAUCUCUAAAGGUUCUGUUAAAAUAAAUAGAAUUAUUUAAUUUUAUAAGAUUGAGAUAAAUUCAACAUGUUAUUUGCCAAAUAAUAUAUUUAGAAUUUUGAAAUAAUAAGACAUUGUUGCCAAAAAUAGGUGGUUAUAUUAAAAGAUGAUAUAUAUUCUUGUGUCUUUAAAAACUUAUGAAUUGUUACAAAUGUGCAUAUUUUCUUCAGAGUAAAAGUUUAUCCGACAGUUUAAAAAUAAUAUUGUGUAUUUAUUAUGUAAAAUAUGUAUUAUACGUUGAAAAUAAAUGUA